rnacentral:lncRNA from 1 species
UGCAGCUUUUGUAUAUUUAUUUUUUUUAGUGAUCAGGUGUAUAUUUACAAAUCUACCUCUACAAUGCAUCUUUAGUUAAAAUCCACUUUUUGUGUGAAGUAAUAUAGAUUAAAAUUACAUUAGAAUUUUGUACAUAACAAGGUUUAGUUUAACAGAUCAUUCAAUUAAGCCCACUUGCCUGUAACCAUAUUUCAGGCUAGGUGGGUCCUGCACAGCAGAUGGCGCGCCCAGCCCUCUGGAGGGUAAAAACACACCAUCGCCAUGGAGGCAGUUAUUCUGGAAACCUGAAUGGUGACUAUAGCUCCAGUUGAUCUCUCCAAAUUGUUUCAAUCCCAUUCUGUUUUUCUUACCUUUGUCAAAUUAGGAAGCCUGGGAAGAUAGAGGAUCAGUUCGGAUUCACCCCCUUGGGAAAGAAAGAUAAAUACCUACCCUUCUGAUUAAUCAUUAUUCCUCAUUCUCAAAACAAACUGCCAAAGGAAAUCCAUCUGCAUGAGAGGGAACUGAGUGGUGGAGAGGUAAGGCCAAUAAUGAUUUCUUUUUUAAGUUGAAACUUCCUUGUUUUUGGUAAGUGAUCUCAUUCCUGAUAGUUUGGCCAGUUUUACUUUCUUAUAAAGCAC